rnacentral:rRNA from 1 species
AUUGAACGCUGGCGGCAGGCCUAACACAUGCAAGUCGAGCGGAUGAAGGGAGCUUGCUCCUGGAUUCAGCGGCGGACGGGUGAGUAAUGCCUAGGAAUCUGCCUGGUAGUGGGGGAUAACGUCCGGAAACGGGCGCUAAUACCGCAUACGUCCUGAGGGAGAAAGUGGGGGAGCUUCGGACCUCACGCUAUCAGAUGAGCCUAGGUCGGAUUAGCUAGUUGGUGGGGUAAAGGCCUACCAAGGCGACGAUCCGUAACUGGUCUGAGUGGAUGAUCAGUCACAUUGGAACUGAGACAGGGUCCAGACUCCUACGGGAGGCAGCAGUGGGGAAUAUUGGACAAUGGGCGAAAGCCUGAUCCAGCCAUGCCGCGUGUGCGAAGAAGGUCUUCGGAUUGUAAAGCACUUUAAGUUGGGAGGAAGGGCAGUAAGUUAAUACCUUGCUGUUUUGACGUUACCAACAGAAUAAGCACCGGCUAACUUCGUG